rnacentral:rRNA from 1 species
UGCCAGCAGCCGCGGUAAUACGAAGGGGGCGAGCGUUGUUCGGAAUCACUGGGCUUAAAGCGUGCGUAGGCGGAUUUGCAAGUCAGAAGUGAAAGCCCGGGGCUCAACCCCGGAACUGCUUUUGAAACUGCAAGUCUAGAGUCCCGGAGAGGUUGGCGGAAUUCCGAGUGUAGAGGUGAAAUUCGCAGAUAUUCGGAGGAACACCAGUGGCGUAGGCGGCCAACUGGACGGGUACUGACGCUGAGGCACGAAAGCGUGGGGAGCAAACAGGAUUAGAUA